CGAAGCAUCACUGGAUUCGUGUCAAAUGCAAGCGAUACAAAGGCAGAUGCAGGGAAGUCUCAAAUACAUUUUAUGAGUCGUAAUGAAGGAUAAACAUUGUGACGAGGUGACAGAGCGCAGACCUUGGACUUGGCCCUCGGCUUUGAGCCCCAGCAGGCACUUACACGUGAUUCAAUGACAGCUCUUGAGAUGGUGGGGAAAUUAAUUCUUGCUCAGUGUAAAGAAUCUAUUCAUAAGCGCUUUGCGUAAGAAAACAUGAACACUUUUUCAUAUGGAUCAAAGUGGCCAUCUGGUUAAAUUCACACAGGCUAUACCUUAUUCAUGCAACUCCUUUACUACUCUCGGUGGAUUAGUUUAAUUUUCUGUCUUCCUUUUUCCCUCAGGUUUGUGCAGCACUUGCAGAGUGAGACUCUCUCAAGAAUGUGUCUAAUUUAGUGGCUAAGAGGCAGAUUUAUACCUGUGCUAGUUAUGAAGAGGGUUGCUCCCUCGAGAAGCCCAAUGACUGUUUACGGGCGGCCUGACAAUGCCUUAGCAGAUGAUGAAGCACCUGCCAUGAGUUCCCCCAUGUCUGUUCCAUCCCUUUCUGUCUGUCUGCUUGCCUCCCUUCCUCUCGCUUUCUUCCUUCUUUCUCUCUUUCUCAGCCUUCUCUCCUUCCUCACUCCUUCCUGUCUCCCGCCCUUUCUCUCACGUUUCUUUUCUCAGCAGAGCCACAAUCCUUCAGUUACCAUGGAGUUGUGCAUUUUACAGCCAUUCCCACUGCUCUCCCCAGAGUGAACCCAUCUACUUACUUCAUCUACCGCUAUGAGUUUUCGUCUUCAUGUCCCUCCACCAUUCUUCUUCUCUCCCUCCCCCUUCACACACAUACUGGAUAGACAAAUCAACAGCAACACACACACACAGCGGUGAACAGAACUGUGGUCAGGUUUUGUUUAUGACAGGGAAAGGCAAUAUCGAGAUUGUU